rnacentral:rRNA from 1 species
CUACGGGUUGCUGCAGUGGGGAAUAUUGGACAAUGGGGGAAACCCUGAUCCAGCAAUGCCGCGUGUGUGAAGAAGGCCUGCGGGUUGUAAAGCACUUUCGGUUGGGAGGACUGCUUCUAGCACUAAUAUUGUUGGAAGUUGACGUUACCUUCAGAAGAAGCACCGGCUAACUCCGUGCCAGCAGCCGCGGUAAUACGGAGGGUGCAAACGUUAAUCGGAAUUACUGGGCGUAAAGCGCGCGUAGGCGGCGAGAUCAGUCGGGUGUGAAAGCCCCGGGCUUAACCUGGGAACUGCAUCCGAUACUGUCUAGCUUGAGUACAGGAGAGGAGAGUGGAAUUCCACAUGUAGCGGUGAAAUGCGUAGAUAUGUGGAGGAACACCAAUGGCGAAGGCAGCUCUCUGGCCUGAUACUGACGCUGAGGUGCGAAAGCGUGGGGAGCAAACAGGAUUAGAUACCCGCGUAGUC